GACGAACGCUGGCGGCGUGCCUAAUACAUGCAAGUUGAGCGCUGAAGGUUGGUACUUGUACCAACUGGAUGAGCAGCGAACGGGUGAGUAACGCGUGGGGAAUCUGCCUUUGAGCGGGGGACAACAUUUGGAAACGAAUGCUAAUACCGCAUAAAAACUUUAAACACAAGUUUUAAGUUUGAAAGAUGCAAUUGCAUCACUCAAAGAUGAUCCCGCGUUGUAUUAGCUAGUUGGUGAGGUAAAGGCCCACCAAGGCGAGGAUACAUAGCCGACCUGAGAGGGUGAUCGGCCACAAUGGGACUGAGACCCGGCCCAAACUCCUACGGGAGGCAGCAGUAGGGAAUCUUCGGAAAUGGACGAAAGACUGACCGAGCAACGCCGCGGGAGUGAAGAAGGGUUUCGGAUCGGAAAACUCUGUUGGUAGAGAAGAACGUUGGUGAGAGUGGAAAGCUCAUCAAGUGACGGUAACUACCCAGAAAGGGACGGCUAACUACGUG
rnacentral:rRNA from 1 species